rnacentral:rRNA from 1 species
AGAUUGAACGCUGGCGGCAUGCCUUACACAUGCAAGUCGAACGGUAACGCGGGGCAACCUGGCGACGAGUGGCGAACGGGUGAGUAAUGCAUCGGAACGUGCUCAGUAGUGGGGGAUAUCCCGGCGAAAGCCGGAUUAAUACCGCAUACGACCUAUGGGUGAAAGCGGGGGACUCGCAAGAGCCUCGCGCUAUUGGAGCGGCCGAUGUCAGAUUAGCUAGUUGGUGGGGUAAAAGCCUACCAAGGCGACGAUCUGUAGCUGGUCUGAGAGGACGACCAGCCACACUGGGACUGAGACACGGCCCAGACUCCUACGGGAGGCAGCAGUGGGGAAUUUUGGACAAUGGGCGUAAGCCUGAUCAGCCAUGCCGCGUGCGGGAAGAAGGCCUUCGGGUUGUAAACCGCUUUUGUCAGGGAAGAAACGCGUACUGGGCUAAUACCCGUGGGUAAUGACGUACCUGAAGAAUAAGCACGGCUAACGUACUGCCAGCAGCCGCGUAA